AGGGCGCAUGGCGGAUGCCUUGGCGCUAGGAGCCGAUGAAGGGCGUGGCAAGCGACGAUAUGCCUCGGGUAGCCGCAAGCAGGCUUUGAUCCGGGGAUGCCCGAAUGGGGAAACCCACUGGGGAUAAUGCCCCAGUAUCCUCAUCUGAAGUAAGUAGGGUGAGGAGGGGAACCGCGGGAACUGAAACAUCUAAGUACCGCGAGGAAAAGAAAGAAAUCUCGAUUCCCUGAGUAGCGGCGAGCGAAACGGGAAGAGCCCAAACCGGUAGCGUGUAAUAGUCUGCAGGCGUUGCGUUACCGGGGUUGUAGGAGCCGUUCGUAGGGUAUCUGCAGGUACUCUAAAUACGGGAUAAGUUUUAGCUGAAGCGGUCUGGAAAGGCCCACCACAGACGGUGACAGUCCGGUAAGCGAAAAGGCUUAUGCUGUAUUAGGAUGGCAUCCUGAGUACCACGGGGCACGUGAAACCCUGUGGGAAACCGGGAGGACCACCUCCCAAGGCUAAAUACUACCUAGCGACCGAUAGUGAACUAGUACCGUGAGGGAAAGGUGAAAAGAACCCCGGGAGGGGAGUGAAAUAGAACCUGAAACCAUGUGCCUACAAAAAGUGGGAGGACCAUCGGGUGCAUUAAUGCAUGACUGGGUCUGACCGCGUACUUCUUGCAGAACGGACCGGCGAGUUACAGUAUGUGGCGAGGUUAAGCGGUAGACGCGGAGCCGUAGCGAAAGCGAGUCUUAAAAGGGCGUAGACUAUUGUCUAAAGUCGCAUAUUGUAGACCCGAAACCGGGUGAGCUACCCAUGGCCAGGGUGAAGCGGAGCUAAUCCCCCGUGGAGGCCCGAACCACGUUGACGUUGAAAAGUCAUGGGAUGAGCUGUGGGUAGGGGUGAAAAGCCAAUCGAACCCGGAGAUAGCUGGUUCUCUCCGAAAUAGCUUUAGGGCUAGCCUCGGGAGUUUACUUAUGGAGGUAGAGCACUGAUCGGGCUAGGGGGCCUGAAAGCUUACCGAACCCUUUCAAACUCCGAAUGCCAUAAGUUAAGAUCCCGGGAGUCAGACUGCGUGCACUAAGGUUUGUAGUCGAGAGGGAAAUAGCCCAGACCCAAAGUUAAGGUCCCAAAGUAUAGGCUAAGUGGGAAAGGAUGUGGGGUUGCCCAGACAGCCAGGAUGUUGGCUUAGAAGCAGCCAUUCAUUUAAAGAGUGCGUAAUAGCUCACUGGUCAAGUGAUCCUGCGCCGAAGAUCCAACGGGGCUUAAGCCUAUCACCGAAGCUUGGGUAGCAGUCUAUUAGGCUGCUAGGUAGGAGAGCGUUCCCUGGCGAGCGAAGUAAGACCGUAAGGACUUAUGGACGGCAGGGAAGUGAGAAUGCCGGUAUGAGUAGCGAUAAGGCAGGUGAGAAUCCUGCCCGCCGAAAACCUAAGGUUUCCUGAGGAAGGGUCGUCCGCUCAGGGUAAGUCGGGACCUAAGCUGAGGGCGAAAGCCGUAGGCGAUGGACAAUCGGUUGAUAUUCCGAUACCACCCUGGAACCGCCCAUGGGAAUCACAGGCCUUGUGUUAUGGCCUCGGCCAUGGCAAUAGGCUUAUGAGGACCAAGCGAUGGGGUGACGCAGAAGGGUAGGCCAUCAGGCGACUGGAAGUGCCUGUCUAAGGGUGUAGGAGGUGGCAUAGGCAAAUCCGUGCCACAAGUACUCCGAGGCCUAAUGGGGACGUGAAAUUGUAGUAACGGAACUGGCUGACCCCAUGCUGCCAAGAAAAGCCUCUAGCGAGGGGCCGGGGUGCCCGUACCGCAAACCGACACAGGUAGGUGGGGUGAGAAUCCUAAGGCGCGCGAGAGAACUCUCGUUAAGGAACUCGGCAAAUUGACCCUGUAACUUUGGAAGAAAGGGUGCCCUGAUAGUGUGAUAUAGGUAUACCUUAUAUUGCAUGAGAGGGCCGCAGAGAAAUGGCCCAAGCGACUGUUUAUCAAAAACACAGGUCUCUGCUAAGUCGAAAGACGAUGUAUAGGGGCUGACGCCUGCCCAGUGCCGGAAGGUUAAGGGGAAGGGUUAGCGCAAGCGAAGCUCUGAACCGAAGCCCCGGUGAACGGCGGCCGUAACUAUAACGGUCCUAAGGUAGCGAAAUUCCUUGUCGGGUAAGUUCCGACCCGCACGAAUGGCGUAACGACUUGGGCGCUGUCUCAACGAGAGGCUCGGCGAAAUUAUAAAUACCCGUGAAGAUGCGGGUUACCCGCGACAAGACGGAAAGACCCCGUGGAGCUUUACUGUAGCCUGAGAUUGGAUUUUGGUGCGUUAUGUACAGGAUAGGUGGGAGGCUGAGAAAGGGUGACGCCAGUUGCCCUGGAGCCACCG
rnacentral:rRNA from 1 species